CAGCAGCCGCGGUAAUACAGAGGGUGCAAGCGUUAAUCGGAAUUACUGGGCGUAAAGCGCACGCAGGCGGUUGGUUAAGUCAGAUGUGAAAGCCCCGGGCUCAACCUGGGAAUUGCAUUUGAAACUGGCCAACUAGAGUACGUGAGAGGGGGGUAGAAUUCCAAGUGUAGCGGUGAAAUGCGUAGAGAUUUGGAGGAAUACCAGUGGCGAAGGCGGCCCCCUGGCACGAUACUGACGCUCAGGUGCGAAAGCGUGGGGAGCAAACAGGAUUAGAUACCCUGGUAGUCCACGCCGUAAACGAUGUCUACUAGCUGUUCGUGGUCUUGUACUGUGAGUAGCGCAGCUAACGCACUAAGUAGACCGCCUGGGGAGUACGGUCGCAAGAUUAAAACUCAAAUGAAUUGACGGGGGCCCGCACAAGCGGUGGAGCAUGUGGUUUAAUUCGACGCAACGCGAAGAACCUUACCUACUCUUGACAUCUAGCGAAGACUGCAGAGAUGCGGUUGUGCCUUCGGGAACGCUAAGACAGGUGCUGCAUGGCUGUCGUCAGCUCGUGUUGUGAAAUGUUGGGUUAAGUCCCGCAACGAGCGCAACCCUUAUCCUUUGUUGC
rnacentral:rRNA from 1 species